GCUUUGAUGGACAUGCGUGUCACCAGCCAUGUCAGCCUUGAACUUGUUUCCAAGGAUCUAUGUUGCUUCCUAAAUAUACUGAAUUCUCCAUUUAUAAAUACUCUCAAGUGGGACAUCUUCAUGGACAGACCUCAUUUCGUCUCACACAAGCUGCUGCCUCUACUUGAAGCCUCUCGCCCCUUUAUUUGGAUGGUAGGUUGGCAGAGAGGAAGAGAAAGUCCAGCAUGAAAACGUAGAGCCUGGAGUGGGAGAGUCACACGGCCCUGCUGACAACUUCGGAUUCUGACACUUUCCUUUGGUGAAUAGAAUGGUUUAUUUUUCGAAAAUCACAGCACAAAGAGGGACUCUGGAAAGCAGAUGUAUCCAUGUUGCCGUUAGGUAUCCAGAAGGAGAAAGCACAGGAACUGCCCAAGGAGGCCUCUUCUCUUCUUUGUGCCAUAAUAUCACCAACACUCCUUCCAGAGGAAAGAACCCCAUGCCCAGCAGGAGAAUGAGGUCUUUGUUCAGUCCAGUAAGGGACAUUUACUGAGUGGCCUUUCUGUAGCAUGCAUUUGGUGACGAACAAUUCACGUAUAGGAUGCUGGAAGGUGUACGUUUCUCGAUCUUGAACAAGGGAGAAAGGCUGGACUUCCAUUCAGCAGACAUUGUCAGGUGCUUGGGUGCCCCUCUACCAGGGGAGAGGGGAACACGGUAUGUUCCUUGUUCCUUGUUACCAGUCCACUGUAGAGGCAGACAUACUUUAAGUUCUUAAAAAUUCACAGAGCCAACAGCCUGCAGGCCCCUCAGUCUUUGGAUACCAUCAACGAUACAUAACAUGGCAGCCAGUUCCACUGCGCCUGUAGGAAGCACUCAACCAGACUGGGGGAGAGCCCGAGGAGACCGGUCCCGAGAGAAGAGAGCUGAGUGGCAAGGGCCACCCUGUUCUGAGCCCCACACUGUGGUCUCAGCAAAGAUGGACUCAGCAGAUAGCUCUGUGAGGGUCCCCACCUCCCGUUUCCUCUGAGAAGCAGCCAGCCUUACGAACCAACACGUACCCUGUCCCCGCACACCUACCACGCACACUCUUGGGAAUGGCAAGGAGGCAACAGACAGAGACCAACUCAGUUGACCAGACUGAAUUUCCCAGGUACCAGGGCCAUGAGGCAGACAGAGGCUUGGUGGUCAGGAGCAGCAGGGGCAGUACGAGAAGUGGGGACCAGGGACAGGCUGGGACUGCGGAGAUCUGGGAGAUGCCGGCGGCAGAUGCAGGGGAGAGCAGGUUGUGGGGACGGUGGCCUUCCAACCAGCGCCAGUGUGGACAGAGGCCAACUGACGAGAUGCCUUCUUCUCAUGGAUACUGGAUGCACUGAGAUGAUCCCUGCCGCCACCGCAGAAGAAAGAAGGCGUCCCUAAACUACAGCAAAGGCCAAUUUAUCUGAGUCUACCAUGAACUCAGAUGAACUUCACACCACAAGGGAGCCGUGCCCUGGAGCUCGGCAGUCACCUCUGCGACCGUGAUGAUGUCUCCCUGUUUCAGUUGCUCGACAGGAUACCGUGGGAUGUGGAGGAAGGCACAACAUAGCCCAGGAUGGAUGAAGCCGACCGCUGCAAGAUGGUCACAAGUUCGGAUCCUGUCCCUGCAUCCUCCACUCUGCAUUCCGUGAGGGCCGACAAGGCUGCAGGACACGUGUCAGGCCCAGGCCCUGCCACUGGGUGGUCCCAUUUCUCCUGAGACUCCCUAACAUCCCUUCCCUCCUCCCAGCUGGCAGGACCCAACCAUGACCCCUCACACUCUGAGGUGUGGAAACCCUCCUCCAUUCUUAGGGGGCCAGAAUUCGCUACAAGGGAGUCUUUUUUAAGAGUGAACAUUUAUUCAGUCAACAAACAUGGGCUGUCUGCCAGGGCUGGACACGGCUGGUCGUCAGGACACACAGAACACGUGAUCAGUCAAUGUGAAACAUCAUGACGUCAGCCUGCGCCUGGUAUUCCCAGAUGUUCUUGACUAAGUGACAAUUUACACAGUGUUUCAUUAGAUGCCUAUUAAGAAGAGAAGCACAGCUGAUGCCAUAAACCAAAGCCACCCCCAGAAUGGGAGGGCUGAUUAAGCAGAGGCCGUGGAAACAGGUCCAAGUUGCCGGGCAGGUCCUGGAGCUGUGCCCAGGCAGCGGGUAUGGCUCUCGGCAGUGCACUCGACGGCCAGAAAGCCUCGCUAGGGUCCAGAACCUCACUUCCACCCUGCUCCCUUCUCUUCCGUUCCUAAAGAACGAACCCAGCAAUGACGGAGUGUGGAGUGUGAGCCCCAGGCAGGGAGGGAUGGGGGGGAACCCUAAAGUCCCCUGCAUAGAGAAGCCUCGAGCAGGCAGG